AUGGGCAUCCACUUGGCCUCCACCUUCCUCCUCCUCCUCGCGGCCCUGCCAGGGCUGCGGGCGGCCGUGCAACUGGUCGUGUCCGGAGGGGGCCUCCAGACACCCGGGGGGUCCCUGCGCCUCGUCUGCAAGGCCUCCGGCUUCACCAUCAGCAGCAACCAAAUGGAGUGGGCGCGACAGGCGCCCGGGAAGGGGCUCGAGUGGGUCGCGGGUAUUUACGGCAGUGGUAGCAGCACAGCCUACGCGCCGGCGGUCAAAGGGCGCUUCACCAUCUCCAAGGACAACUCCCAGAGCACGGUGACGCUGCAGAUGAACAGCCUGAAGGCCGACGACACGGCCACCUACUACUGCGCGAAAGCUGCUCACGGUGGCGCCGACCCUGCCCGCCGCCGGCGCAAAAACCCCGCGUUGGCUGCUUCAUCCCGUGGGAGGCGGAGGGCAGCGAUGCCUGGCAGCGCUCGGCCCUCUUCGCCGCGCCUGAGCGGCCGCAGCCGCGGCGUCUGGGCUUCGCUCGGCACCCAGACCCUUUGUGGGGCACCCAAGAGCCUUUCAAGGAGCCCAGCCCCUCGCAAAGCACCCAAGCGCCUUUACAAGGGCACCCAAGUGCCCUUUGCACGGAGCCCAGACCCUUUGCAGGGCACCCAAGCACCCCUGAAUGGAGCCUAG